GAUGAACGCUGGCGGCGUGCCUAAUACAUGCAAGUCGAGCGAACAGACGAGGAGCUUGCUCCUCUGACGUUAGCGGCGGACGGGUGAGUAACACGUGGAUAACCUACCUAUAAGACUGGGAUAACUUCGGGAAACCGGAGCUAAUACCGGAUAAUAUAUUGAACCGCAUGGUUCAAUAGUGAAAGACGGUUUUGCUGUCACUUAUAGAUGGAUCCGCGCCGCAUUAGCUAGUUGGUAAGGUAACGGCUUACAAAGGCAACGAUGCGUAGCCGACCUGAGGGGGGGAGCGGCAACACGGGACAUGGGACACGGCCCAGGCUCAUGCGGAGGGACGAAGGAGGGAAUUUGCCGCAAGGGGGGAAAGCCUGACGGGGCAACGCCGGGGGAGUGAUGAGGGUUUUGGGAUUGUAAAACUUUGUUAUUGGGGAAAAAAAAAUGUGAAAGUAACUUUGCCCGUUUUGAGGGUACCAAAGAAAAAAGCCACGGCAAACUACGU
rnacentral:rRNA from 1 species